AGCUGCAAUAGUGAAAUUGUACAAAGAGCUGUGUUCACUGACUGGCGACGAAGAGGUGAAGCGACGUAAAAUUCGCCUCCAAGUAUGAAGGAUCGACCACAAUAGCCUGUUAAGACGUUAGAACAAUUGAUAAAUGACAAUAUCGGUAGUGAUGGAAAUCCACAAUUACCAGGUUUCAAUGAGGUUAUUCAAUGUGUGGAUGAAGCCAACAGGGCAGAAAAUCUGGGCUGGACUAAAGCACAGAUAAAUAAUGAAGCAUGGGCACUAUAUAUGCGCUGCAGCCGUGCGUUGAAGGAGUACCGUCAAAAGCGCGAAUACCGUGAUCUCAUUAGUUGUGUCCAAUUCAAACUCGAAGCGGACCCGGCCGACACAGAUCCACAUUUGUUAGCACGCUUGGAGGAGAAUAAACGGCAAGCUAUGAAAAAAGAGGCUGAAAGACUAGGACAGGUGUGAGAAGUUAAUAAAAAACGAAGCGGACAAUGAUGGUGUUCAUACAGAGGUUAUAUUCACGAAUAAUAACACAAAAUCAUCUGAAUAAGGCGACGUUAAAAAUGAAAGUGACAUCCAAAUACACAAUACAAUAAAUAGCAAACUUUCUUUUGAAAAUUUAGAACAUGUUGAACACAAGUUACAUACAAGAACAAUUGAUAAUACGGAAUCAUUAAUAAAGAAAGAAAAUAAAGACGACAGGAAAGAGAACGAGGGAUCAAAUUCAAAUGACGUCAAUA